rnacentral:rRNA from 1 species
GUGAGGAAUAUUGGUCAAUGGGCGAGAGCCUGAACCAGCCAAGUCGCGUGAAGGAUGAAGGUUUUAUGAAUUGUAAACUUCUUUUGCAGGGGAAUAAAGUACGGUACGUGUACCGUUUUGUAUGUACUCUGCGAAUAAGGAUCGGCUAACUCCGUGCCAGCAGCCGCGGUAAUACGGAGGAUCCAAGCGUUAUCCGGAUUUAUUGGGUUUAAAGGGUGCGCAGGCGGGUUGAUAAGUCAGCGGUGAAAGUUUGCAGCUUAACUGUAAAAUUGCCGUUGAAACUGUCGAUCUUGAGUGCAAAUGAGGUAAGCGGAAUGCGUUGUGUAGCGGUGAAAUGCUUAGAUAUAACACAGAACACCGAUUGCGAAGGCAGCUUACUGGGAUGCAACUGACGCUCAUGCACGAAAGCGUGGGUAUCAAACAGGAUUAGAAACCCUGGUAGUCC